CUAAAAAACAAGAGGCUCUCAAGAGCCUGAAUCGCUCACCUUAAUUCUUUUGGUUAAAUCUCUCAUCAAUGAUUAUUUUGGCUUUUCAAUUUAUUUAAAUGUUUUUUGGAUCGUCCUAUUUUCUUCAAAAGCCAAAAAAAAUAAUCAUUUUCUCCUAUGUUCUAUUUUAGCCAUGUUAAGGAGCUAUGUUUCUUGACAUACAAGGAAAUAAAAUAUAAAAUUUAUACUAGAUACUCUGAAACUCAUUUAGCCUAAGUUUGGCUGAAAUUGAUACAGCAGUUGCAAAGGAGAAGAUUUUUUAAAGUAAGUCAACAUGAUGAACAAAUUGUGAAAAAAGUCUUUAAAGGGCAAUAACUCCUUAAGGGGUCAAUUGACAAUUUUGGUCAAAUUGACUUAAUUGAAGAUCUUACUUUGCUGAACAUUAUUGCUGUUUACAGUUUAUUUCUAUCUAUAAUAUAUUCAAGAAUAAUAAACAAACAGCAAAAUUUCCUUAAAAUUAUCAAUUCAGGGGCAGCAACCCAACAACAGGUAGUCUGAUUCAUCUCAAAAUUUCAGGGCAGAUAGAUCUUGACCUGAUA
rnacentral:lncRNA from 1 species